rnacentral:rRNA from 1 species
AGCUCCAACAGCGUAUAUUAAAGUUGCUGCAGUUAAAACGCUCGUAGUUGUUGUCCAACUAUACGCUAUUCCAAGUAAUUGCGAAUAGUUCAAUAGUUUAGCGGAACUUGUUUCUGCCAAAACCUUGAGGAAAGAUUAGUGUUCCAAGCAAUUAAAACUUUGUCCUCCCCAGCAUGGUAUUCAACCUAACAGAAGAAAGGUGUCGACUUUCUUCUUACUAUAUAGAAAUUCAAGGGGGUAUACGUACUUUAAUGUCAGAGGUGAAAUUCUUAGAUUUUUAAAAGACGGUCAAUUGCGAAAGCAUUCACCAAGCGACUUUUCU